AGUAUGCAAGAUACAUACAGACUAAAGGAGUGGUCAGCUGAUAAUUUGUGCCAUACUUAUAGAGUGAGAACACACGUAAAUUUCUGACUUCUCAUUUGAGGGAGUCAGGGAUUCCCUCCAGUCUCUAGCUGUUUUCCGUACCUUCGUGGGUUGAUUUUCACUGUCUUUUUUUUUUCUCUUAUCCCCUCUUUCUUCACUUAAAUUCUCUCUGACUUCACAAUCUGAUGGUAACACCAUCUUUCACCCCAUCUUGCAUGUUUUAAUCUUUGCCAUAAUUUCUGAUUCUUCCCACUUUUAUACUCUGUCAUCUUCCGAUAUCUAGUCAGUUACCGCCCCAUCUUUUCUCCGCUAUCAUUUCUACCUUCAGUCCUUCCCCAGAAGUAUACCCACCAACCUGUUUCCUUCCCAACCCUUAAACAGCUCCUGAAAUCCAUCCUCUCCUUAGAACACAAUCAUUUUUCCUUUUUUGUUUGUUUUUUCAGUCACAUCUGACUCUUUGUGACCCCAUUUGGGAUUUUCUUGGCAAAGACACUGGAGUGAUUCUCAGUGAGCAAAGAAAGCCUGAGUCCUGUCCCUUGACCUAUCCAAAGAUGGAUCUUCUUCCAAGUUUCUUUCUUCGUGGAACCUCUGGACUGCUUCAUGGGAUCCCCCUCUUUCAAAGACAGUUUGAGAGGAGAUGUCCUCCAAAGAGACUGAUGAAACUCAUGUGCAUCUCUGCUGCGUGUGCCCACUCUCCCAUCUCACUGGAAACCAGGACUCCACUCCUAGCUUCUCCCCUCUGCAGCCAUCGCUACAUGGGUUGGCCUCAUGCGCACAGAUAGCCUGAGCUGCCAUGCUCCCAGAAGUCCCUGCCGAUGGAGGAGUCACUGCCACCACCUGCCCAUCCCCAGGGAAGCCUGGAUCCUAUGGACAGUGCUGAGCAUGAGUCAGGGAAGAAGACACCUGUGCUCUUUGGAGCAGUUUAGAACCGGAAGCCAUUGGCUGACGGUCCACAAAGGAAUGCCUGGAUGAGCUGCGGGAUCUCAGAGAUCAGACAUGGGCUGUACAUGUACUUAGCACACACAUACUUGUAUACAUUCAGCACAUUCAGCCAACCCCACCCACUCCUUACCUUUUCAGCGGCAGCAUUCACACCUUAGAAAUUGGCAAAAGCCACCGAUGGGAGCUUGACUUGUUUCUCCUUCAUUCUCAGAGAGGACCAUGGUGUCAGGAAGGUGAUGUCAUGACUUGCAAGUGAAUUGGAUUUAAGGGAGGGAGGGCUGUGCAAAGUCACCAGCUUCACUCCCUCCUCCGGAGCCAUCUGGGUCCAGUGGUGAGAUGUAGAUCAGAAGGACUAGAGAUCCCUGGAUGCAGUGGGAGACCUUGGCCUUUUUAAGCUAAGGUCUUUAACAGGUCUCAGUUUGUCUGAGGCAACACCUAUUCAGUGAUUAAGGCUAGGUAAGAAAUGAGGCAAAGAAUGGCCUCUUUUACCUAGUCAAAAAAAAUAGGGAGGACCCUCAGGAUUUCUGGCCAAAACAGAAACAAUUGCUAUUUAUACAUCUCUCUGAACCAUCAGAGCCCAAACAAUGAUCAAAUGAGGCUUGGGCUGGAACGGAUUAUUGACCCAUCAAUGAGAGCCAGAUUGCUUUGGGUUUAAAGCAUGACCCUUAAAAAAAGAAAUCUAGCCUGUAAACCCCGAGAUAUCUUUCGAGGUUUCAGCAAUCAAAAUUUAUAUUCCUUUGGGCAGAGCACCCGCAGGUAUGAUUCUCUAGGUGAACAGAGAGAGAGGAGGGAGGGAGAGAAGGAGGGAAGGAGAAAAUGAAAGAGAAAAGGAGGGAAGGAAGGAAGGAGCUGCAUUGCCCCAAUGGAUUUGAUUUAUUGCUUUGUUGAUUAGCCAGACUUGAGAAAGUGCUGGAGGUUGAUGAAUGCAGAUUCAGCUUGAAGAUACCACUUUUGGCCAGCACACUCCUGCCCCAGAGGCCACCUAGCCUACCCCUCUUAUUUUACAGGUGAGAGAACUGAGGCUCAGGGUGGUUAAGGGACUGUGCCCAAAGUCACCUAGGUAAUGAACAUCCAGGGUAAGAUUUGAACAGGGGUCCUCCACCUCCUGAGCUAUCAUUCUUCCCACAAUACCUCUUCAACCCAAUAUUCACGUAUUGGCGUACAUGAUGGCAAAUAUGAAGAACUCAGAGAAAUUUAGGAGGAUAUUCAUGAAUGAAUGAAUGAGUGAAAUAAGCAGAAGGAAGAAAACUGGCAUGAUCAUAAUAAUAACAAAGGAAAAUGAUAUUAAAAGACUUUAGAAAUCUGAUCUAUGAAGUGACCAAUCUUGACUCCAGAGGACGGAUGGUCAAAUCUGACCAUCUCCAAUGACUGUGCACAAAGGUUGUAUCCAUUUUCCUGGGGAAAGAUGAAGGACUCAGAGGAUGGUAUUAUUGGAGGUGAGGUCAUGGGAGGUUCUGGGGCCCCAGGUCAGGUAUGUGGGCUUUCACUAUCUAAGUCUGUUUCUGUAAGAACCAAAUAUCAUAGAAUUUACAGCUGGAAGGAACCUUAGUGAUCACCUGGACCCACCCUCUUAUUUGGAAGGGAACUACCCAAGGAUGCACAGAUGGUAAACAGGGUUAGGAUUCACAAUCAGGACUUGGGAAAGCAAGUCCAGAGUUCUUUCCACUACAUCUGAGGACUCUGUUUUUUUAGGUCCAUAAACUAUUUUAAAUCUUUACUUUUACCUUUCAUCUAAACAGCCCUUUGUGGUCAUUGGAGAUGGUCAAAUCUGGGUUCUUUGGUCCUGUCAUGACUGUUUUCUGAACACAGGUGUCUUUUAAAAGAUAUUUCAUAGUUUUUUUUUUAAAAAAAUGUUGUCACUUCUCAAUGACCUUCUAUUACCCUCAACCAAUAACUCUUUUUUGUAACAAAUAAGUUCAAUUGAGCAAAAGACGGGAGGCACAUUUGACCAUCAGUGCUCUGGAGUCAAGACUGGUCACCACGUAGAUCAGCACCUAUUAUGUGCCAGGCACUGUGCUAGGCACUGGGCAUGCAAUUAUGGAGAAUUAAAAAUCCCCAUGUGCACAGAGUUUUUAUUCUAAUAGCGCAGACAACAAGUACGUAUUACACACACACACAUCUUAUAGACUAAAAGUGAAUAAAUACAAACACAUACAAAGUAGUUAAAUACA
rnacentral:lncRNA from 1 species